GCUGUCUGCACAGCCGUAGGAAAACAUGGAGCCUGUCAGGGCUUCCCAACACACAGUUUGAGACCACUGCUGCAGUGUGCUAGGUUCAUCUACAUGAGGACCUCAGUACUGUGGGAAACGUGCA